GUAGGUGGCAAGCGUUAUCCGGAAUUAUUGGGCGUAAAGAGGGAGCAGGCGGCAGCAAGGGUCUGUGGUGAAAGCCUGAAGCUUAACUUCAGUAAGCCAUAGAAACCAGGCAGCUAGAGUGCAGGAGAGGAUCGUGGAAUUCCAUGUGUAGCGGUGAAAUGCGUAGAUAUUAGGAGGAACACCAGUGGCGAAGGCGGCUUACUGGACGGUAACUGACGUUGAGGCUCGAAAGCGUGGGGAGCAAACAGGAUUAGAUACCCUGGUAGUCCACGCCGUAAACGAUGACUACUAGGUGUCGGGCAGCAAAGCUGUUCGGUGCCGCAGCAAACGCAAUAAGUAGUCCACCUGGGGAGUACGUUCGCAAGAAUGAAACUCAAAG
rnacentral:rRNA from 1 species